rnacentral:tRNA from 1 species
GCCGGAGUGAUGGAACCGGAAGACAUUCGGGUCUCAAACACCCGUGGGCGCAAGCCCGUGAGGGUUCAAAUCCCUCCUCCGGCA